GUUGUCGUCAGCUCGUGUCGUGAGAUGUUGGGUUAAGUCCCGCAACGAGCGCAACCCUUAUUAUCAGUUGCCAGCAUUAAGUUGGGCACUCUGGUGAGACUGCCGGUGACAAACCGGAGGAAGGUGGGGAUGACGUCAAAUCAUCAUGCCCCUUAUGACCUGGGCUACACACGUGCUACAAUGGAUGGUACAACGAGUUGCGAACUCGCGAGAGUAAGCUAAUCUCUUAAAGCCAUUCUCAGUUCGGAUUGUAGGCUGCAACUCGCCUACAUGAAGUCGGAAUCGCUAGUAAUCG
rnacentral:rRNA from 1 species